rnacentral:rRNA from 1 species
GACGAACGCUGGCGGCGUGCUUAACACAUGCAAGUCGUACGGUAAGGCCCUUUCGGGGGUACACGAGUGGCGAACGGGUGAUUAACACGUGAGUAACCUGCCCACAACUUUGGGAUAACGCUAGGAAACUGGUGCUAAUACUGGAUAUGUGCUCCUGCUGCAUGGUGGGGGUUGGAAAGCUCCGGCGGUUGUGGAUGGACUCGCGGCCUAUCAGCUUGUUGGUGGGGUAGUGGCCUACCAAGGCGGCGACGGGUAGCCGGCCUGAGAGGGUGACCGGCCACAUUGGGACUGAGAUACGGCCCAGACUCCUACGGGAGGCAGCAGUGGGGAAUAUUGCACAAUGGGCGCAAGCCUGAUGCAGCAACGCCGCGUGCGGGAUGACGGCCUUCGGGUUGUAAACCGCUUUCAGCAGGGACGAAGCUUUUUGUGACGGUACCUGCAGAAGAAGCACCGGCUAACUACGUG